rnacentral:lncRNA from 1 species
GUCCCAAGGUGUCUUGAUUGUGGAGGGUGUAUAAUCCCCAAUGUCUUCGAAAAUACUCCUGUCAGCCUCAGCAGGUUUCUUCUCUUCCAGCUUCCCUUUAUCCUUCUUCUUAAGCUUCUUGUUACGGGUUCCCUGCCUCAGCUGGGUCUUCAUCCUCAUUGUACUCCCUUGGCAUCUCAUGGUGACGUGACUUAGAAGGUGGUGCAGAGACGUUUGAAACUAUUGCUUUGCUGAAAACAUCUGACUGCCAGGCUAGGAUGUGACACUUAAGGGACUUACCAAUUUGGGAUUCUUCCAGGAGCUGAAAACUGAUUGCAAAUAUGAAACAGAUUUCACUACAGGACUUGAACCCUACAUUAAAAAACAACAAGCUCCCCAAAAUAAUUGAAAAAGAUCUUCACCAAAGAGUAGCUGCAAUGUGAAUGGCAGGAUAUGAAGCAAGUAAGAGAUGGUGAAAAGAUUAUCUUAAGCUUGGAAUUAAGUGAUGAAAGGGACCUUCGAAAUUAUCAACUCUAAAUACUUCUUUACAGGAAAAUUGAAAGCAGUUAAGAACCUGCCCCCUACCGUGGAGUUCUUGGUGCCGUGAGUUGGAGUUCUUGGUGCCUGGGUGCGUCCCCAAGGCCACUGGUCUUCAGAUCUUUCUUACUUGAGAAGAACGCCUCCGCCUCCUGGCUCUCCCACCAGUGGUAUUGCCACCACCACACACCAGCAUAAAGCACAGAUUGCUGCCCAGCUCCUUGGAGAGGGGCCAGUGCAUUUGUCAGGAAUUGAAAAGUUUUGGAGCCAGUUCGAGGACUUUCUCCUGCACAAAGUGUUGGCUGGAAGCAUGAAGCAAUAACACAUGGUUUGCCAAAGAAUCUGCAUUGAAUAAUACUGGUGGUGACCACAAGAACAUGCCUCUCUGACUGCAAGGAACAAGAGUGACCCAGGGUUUCAGCUGCUGCCUUGGAAAUUCAUCACAGUGCAAGUCUAUGCUUCCCACGGGCUGCUCCCAGCCUGUGAAUAAGCCUGGCAUCUUUGUUGAGGCAGGCCUAUUUCUGGAGAUGCAGGAUCCUCCGAUGGGCGAAUUUGGCUCUAGGACUGCUUGAUGGCCUUGACAGACUUUCCUUAGAAAUGCAUGGCAAUUUAGGGUUCCUCCACCCUUCCCUCUUUCUCUCCUUCACCUAGGGUCGGACUUGCAUCAUGGCCUGAAAGCUCCACCAGCCUCUCCUGCCCUCCUCCUCAUUUUCUUUCACAGGCAUAUCCUCUAAUAAAUUUCUUGCACAU